rnacentral:rRNA from 1 species
GGGUUGUGAGGUUAAGCGACUAAGCGUACACGGUGGAUGCCCUGGCAGUCAGAGGCGAUGAAGGACGUGCUAAUCUGCGAUAAGCGCCGGUAAGGUGAUAUGAACCGUUAUAACCGGCGAUUUCCGAAUGGGGAAACCCAGUGUGAUUCGUCACACUAUCAUUAACUGAAUCCAUAGGUUAAUGAGGCGAACCGGGGGAACUGAAACAUCUAAGUACCCCGAGGAAAAGAAAUCAACCGAGAUUCCCCCAGUAGCGGCGAGCGAACGGGGAGGAGCCCAGAGCCUGAAUCAGCAUGUGUGUUAGUGGAAGCGUCUGGAAAGGCGCGCGAUACAGGGUGACAGCCCCGUACACAAAAGCGCAUGUGCUGUGAGCUCGAUGAGUAGGGCGGGACACGUGGUAUCCUGUCUGAAUAUGGGGGGACCAUCCUCCAAGGCUAAAUACUCCUGACUGACCGAUAGUGAACCAGUACCGUGAGGGAAAGGCGAAAAGAACCCCGGCGAGGGGAGUGAAAAAGAACCUGAAACCGUGUACGUACAAGCAGUGGGAGCACCCUUCGGGGUGUGACUGCGUACCUUUUGUAUAAUGGGUCAGCGACUUAUAUUCUGUAGCAAGGUUAACCGUAUAGGGGAGCCGGAGGGAAACCGAGUCUUAAUUGGGCGUUAAGUUGCAGGGUAUAGACCCGAAACCCGGUGAUCUAGCCAUGGGCAGGUUGAAGGUUGGGUAACACUAACUGGAGGACCGAACCGACUAAUGUUGAAAAAUUAGCGGAUGACCUGUGGCUGGGGGUGAAAGGCCAAUCAAACCGGGAGAUAGCUGGUUCUCCCCGAAAGCUAUUUAGGUAGCGCCUCGUGAAUUCAUCUCCGGGGGUAGAGCACUGUUUCGGCUAGGGGGCCAUCCCGGCUUACCAACCCGAUGCAAACUGCGAAUACCGGAGAAUGUUAUCACGGGAGACACACGGCGGGUGCUAACGUCCGUCGUGAAGAGGGAAACAACCCAGACCGCCAGCUAAGGUCCCAAAGUCAUGGUUAAGUGGGAAACGAUGUGGGAAGGCCCAGACAGCCAGGAUGUUGGCUUAGAAGCAGCCAUCAUUUAAAGAAAGCGUAAUAGCUCACUGGUCGAGUCGGCCUGCGCGGAAGAUGUAACGGGGCUAAACCAUGCACCGAAGCUGCGGCAGCGAACGUAUCACCCAAGACAACUUUACGGAGUUGACGAUUGACGGAGCGAAGCGACGUCAAAGCGUUCAUUAAAGUCGAGUUGGCUUAGGGAUACGUUCGUUGGGUAGGGGAGCGUUCUGUAAGCCUGUGAAGGUGUGUCGUGAGGCAUGCUGGAGGUAUCAGAAGUGCGAAUGCUGACAUAAGUAACGAUAAAGCGGGUGAAAAGCCCGCUCGCCGGAAGACCAAGGGUUCCUGUCCAACGUUAAUCGGGGCAGGGUGAGUCGACCCCUAAGGCGAGGCCGAAAGGCGUAGUCGAUGGGAAACGGGUUAAUAUUCCCGUACUUGGUGUUACUGCGAAGGGGGGACGGAGAAGGCUAUGUUGGCCGGGCGACGGUUGUCCCGGUUUAAGCGUGUAGGUGUGUGUUCCAGGUAAAUCCGGUUCACUUUAACACUGAGGCGUGACGACGAGGCACUACGGUGCUGAAGCAACAAAUGCCCUGCUUCCAGGAAAAGCCUCUAAGCAUCAGGUAACACGAAAUCGUACCCCAAACCGACACAGGUGGUCAGGUAGAGAAUACCAAGGCGCUUGAGAGAACUCGGGUGAAGGAACUAGGCAAAAUGGUGCCGUAACUUCGGGAGAAGGCACGCUGACACGUAGGUGAAGUGAUUUACUCAUGGAGCUGAAGUCAGUCGAAGAUACCAGCUGGCUGCAACUGUUUAUUAAAAACACAGCACUGUGCAAACACGAAAGUGGACGUAUACGGUGUGACGCCUGCCCGGUGCCGGAAGGUUAAUUGAUGGGGUCAGCGCAAGCGAAGCUCCUGAUCGAAGCCCCGGUAAACGGCGGCCGUAACUAUAACGGUCCUAAGGUAGCGAAAUUCCUUGUCGGGUAAGUUCCGACCUGCACGAAUGGCGUAAUGAUGGCCAGGCUGUCUCCACCCGAGACUCAGUGAAAUUGAACUCGCUGUGAAGAUGCAGUGUACCCGCGGCAAGACGGAAAGACCCCGUGAACCUUUACUAUAGCUUGACACUGAACAUUGAGCCUUGAUGUGUAGGAUAGGUGGGAGGCUUUGAAGUGUGGACGCCAGUCUGCAUGGAGCCGACCUUGAAAUACCACCCUUUAAUGUUUGAUGUUCUAACGUGGACCCGUAAUCCGGGUUGCGGACAGUGUCUGGUGGGUAGUUUGACUGGGGCGGUCUCCUCCUAAAGAGUAACGGAGGAGCACGAAGGUUGGCUAAUCCUGGUCGGACAUCAGGAGGUUAGUGCAAUGGCAUAAGCCAGCUUGACUGCGAGCGUGACGGCGCGAGCAGGUGCGAAAGCAGGUCAUAGUGAUCCGGUGGUGUCGAAUGGAAGGGCCAUCGCUCAACGGAUAAAAGGUACUCCGGGGAUAACAGGCUGAUACCGCCCAAGAGUUCAUAUCGACGGCGGUGUUUGGCACCUCGAUGUCGGCUCAUCACAUCCUGGGGCUGAAGUAGGUCCCAAGGGUAUGGCUGUUCGCCAUUUAAAGUGGUACGCGAGCUGGGUUUAGAACGUCGUGAGACAGUUCGGUCCCUAUCUGCCGUGGGCGCUGGAGAACUGAGGGGGGCUGCUCCUAGUACGAGAGGACCGGAGUGGACGCAUCACUGGUGUUCGGGUUGUCAUGCCAAUGGCACUGCCCGGUAGCUAAAUGCGGAAGAGAUAAGUGCUGAAAGCAUCUAAGCACGAAACUUGCCCCGAGAUGAGUUCUCCCUGAGACUUAGAGUCUCCUGAAGGAACGUUGAAGACGACGACGUUGAUAGGCCGGGUGUGUAAGCGCAGCGAUGCGUUGAGCUAACCGGUACUAAUGAACCGUGAGGCUUAACCUUACAACGCCGAAG